UUUAUUAAGGGCUAUAACUUGGUAGAAAAAAAAUUUUUUAAUAGAUUUCAUAAAAAUCUAACUAUUGUAUUUGUCCUCAUGACGUAAUUUUCCGUUAAUUUUACUAUAUUUCGACCUAACUCGACAAUCUGAGUCAGAAAAUACAUAUGGUUCGAAAGUUUAUAUAUGUAUAUAUAUAUAUAUGAUAUAACGCGGCUUGUCACGAUGAUAGCGUUAACAAUUCUUAAAGGAUCUUAAUGAAACUCAACAUACUUAUUCUAUCGACUAUUAGGAAGGUCAAGUUCAAAUAUGAGCUUAAUCGGUCAAAUAGUUUAGAAAUUACACCAGUCCAAAAUUUUGAAAUUUUGAAAAUUUGAUACUUUCACUACUUUUCCUUCAAAUAACUUUUGAACGCGUCGAGUUAUUCGAUUUCUGUAAAAUGCAUCUGAAAGCUGAGAAAUUAAACUUCAAUUUAUGUGCUCACAUUUUUUUCUAACGCAAAAAAAUAUCCAUCUUAGGAUCAUUUUUAAGAAAUUUUACUCUUGCAGUCAUUUUGUCUAUACAGAACUGACUGAAAAGUAUACUAAAGUACAAUAAUUCUUCUCUUUCUUUAUGGAAGGUUAUUUAUUUUUUUUUUUAUAAUUUUAGUUGUUUUUAAU